GGCCAUUAAAUUUAACUCUGCCUAAUUGAGGAAAACAUUCGUAUUGAUAGGUAAUUAACAUAAUUAAUUAUCACUAUUAAGUUGUUCCACAUUCCCUAUUCUUUGCAAUAUUCAUAUAUUUCUCAGCUUCAAUAUUUUUUAUUUUUUGAAAAAAGCUCAGAUAUUUAUUCGGUACAAUCGUUUUAAAUAACUUGGGUAAAGGAAAACCAUGGAAUUUUAAACCGUAAGACAAUUAGCGCAUGUUUGCUAGAUAGAUUACGUUAAAUUAGCUUUGAAAGUUAAAGGGGUGUUUGUUUUCAUGACUUUGAGUUUGAUAGUCAAUGUAUAUACACAAGAUUACACUUUAUAUUUAUUUGGUAGUGCCUAUUAAAAUCUAGACUAAACAACGAUAUUACAAUUAUACCCCUUUAAUUUUAAUUUUAUUAAUAUGUCCAAAAUGUCCAUAUUUUUAGCGCCAUUUCUAUAAGCACAAAAAAAACCGACUUUUUCAGAAACUACUUCUUUCGCGCCCACUAGAAGGUUUGCAGAACCAAUCUGUGCUUUGUGAUUGAACUCACCACAUCAGCAUCAUGAGUUCCGCACAAAAAGCGGCCUGCCCUCUUCUUCCCCACGCACGCCGCGUCGCUCGCUGCUCGCCCAGUCGCUCGUCGCCGCGCUGCCAGCACCCCGUCGCGACUCAGCCUCUCCGUCUGCUGUUGUUGUCUCCAUCUCCAUCAGUCGUCGCCUGCAUCGCUCGCCGCGCCGCCCAGUCGCUCGUCGCUUGCAUCACUCGUCGCCCGCCGCCAGCACCCCGCCCCGGACUGUGACGAACACAAGUGAAGAAAUUCAAGUGCAGAAAUAAAGAGUAAUUAAUAGGCUGAAACGGAUACAAGAGGGAAGCACUGGAUUUCUGCUGAUUUAAAGAGGCUUGAGCAAGAAACUCGAUUCUUGGUUUUAGUAUUAUUUAUACACACCCUUGUGUUUAAUCAUGUUCGUAUUGUUUUGUUUUGUUGUUAUCUGGGAUAUUUACUUUUCAGGUUUCUUGUUUUAGUUUUGAUGCAUUUUAUCAUUUCAUAAUUGUAGCACACUGCAACUUUGCUAGAGAAGUGAAUAAUUGGGGGAUAACAUUUGUGUCGUAAAUUUUAUGUAAUGAUACAUAAUUUACAGUAUGAUCUUCAACAAGUAGAUGAUUUUAAGUAUUGA